GCAUGGGCAUCAGGUACAAGGGCGAUUGGCUUUAGUGCAAGUAAGAGAUUGAAAGAAUAGUACCGUAUAAGCCAAUCGCAUAGGGAUGCGAAGGAACUUUUCUUUAUUUUCUUCCUACUCAUUUGCAUGACAUUAAUUAUUUUAUUCAUGAGGUAUUAUGUUUUAUCAUUUAUUGCAUCAUAUUUUUUAUGAUUAUGAUAAAUCCCAU
rnacentral:lncRNA from 1 species